CCUGGAACCAGAUGCUAAUACCGGAUAACAACAGAUGAUGCCUAUCAACUGUUUAAAAGAUGGUUCUGCUAUCACUCUUGGAUGGACCUGCGGUGCAUUAGCUAGUUGGUAGGGUAACGGCCUACCAAGGCGAUGAUGCAUAGCCGAGUUGAGAGACUGAUCGGCCACAUUGGGACUGAGACACGGCCCAAACUCCUACGGGAGGCAGCAGUA
rnacentral:rRNA from 1 species